AACUAAAUAAAUUUUAAUAGAAGGACAAGAAGGAAAAAAAGGGACUGAAAAAGAGAAAAGCCCUAAAGACAAAACUGUGGAAGAUGUCUUUCCAAAGACAACAAAUGUAGAAGAAGGACAAGAGGGGAAAAAAGAGCCUGAAAAGGAGAAAAUCCCUAAAGAGAAAACAGUGGAAGAUGAGUCUACAAAGACAACAGAUCCGAAAGCACAAAUUGCACCUGAUUUUGUUCAAAUUGAGGAUGAAACUUAUCUUCUAGAUCAAGAUGAUGAUAAAGUUUCCACAAAACUUAGUGAGGAGACAGCUCCAUCAUCACAAAAAAGUGAU